rnacentral:lncRNA from 1 species
GGUAGUGAACUUUCAUAACACACUACCAAAGCUGUAGUAACAGUGGUUUCAACUGAAGGGUUGCCUUCAAACGCACCAAACAUUUUGUCAAUGUGAAAACUGGAUUGUGAAAUAUAGAUAGAUGGGGAUAGUUGGGUUGGCAAUACAGGCAAUGUUAUGGUAUUGUCUGUAAGUACGUUAAGGUACAUGAUAACAAUUGUCUGAGUGAUGGCAUCUAAUCUACGAAUCAUGCUUAUACUCAUGGUCAUCUUGUGGAGCCAUGUAACUAUGUCUUUUUCUUGUUGAAAGAUCAAGGUGGAACAUAUGCAAGAGCACGUGAUGAUUGGAAGUUUAUGUACUCUCCAGCACCAGGUGCACGACUAAGAUCUUUUAGAUUCCUUCCAUGUUAUCAUGACUCGGUGGAGAUUCUUAGUCAUUCAAACGGCGAUUUUAUUACUCCACUAUGUUUUUGUGAAUUUUCAUUUCUGAAAGACAUCUAGCCUGCAAAUCUGUACUUGUGCUGCUAUUAUCGAGUAUAUUUGGUUCUUUUGUUGAUAAAUCUUUCUAUAUUCAUUGUUGUUAGUUCUAUUAGGUCACUGUUAUGCAUUGGAAAUAUGUAUGAGAAGGUUAUCUUAAUUAUUCUAGGACCAUCCACUAUUUCAUCUGAUUAUUUUCUGACAGUUUUGUAGCAGUAAUAUCAGUUCUAGGGAAUUGUUAUGUUUUGCUAACAGUCAACUAUGCAAAGCUUCUUGUGGGAGCCCUGGCGUCAGUUUGUCAUUCUUAUGCUUUGUGCAUGUGUUCAAUAAUCCCAAAUGCAGUUAAAGUGAACAAAUCGUCAUGUUUUUUCAGUUUGAUCCUCCCAAUAGUGGUACACUGUUGCUAAUAUACAUGCUUGAAUUGCAUGUGUAUAGGCCAUUAUCAAGAAUAAGGAUGCCUAAAAAUUUCAAGUGUCUUCAUGACAAUACAAUCUAGUUAGAGUUGUUCACAGAUCCUGAGUUCCUGACUUUCAGAAGUUUUCACAAAUAGAAAUAUUGGAGAUUUUAAGAUCUAAUUGUAUUUUAAUAUAAAGUUUUUCAUAUGCACAUCUUGCAUUGUCUGCAAGUUUCCGCAUAUUCCAUAAUACUCUGUAUUUCUGAAUAUCAUGGAUCAAAAUGAUUUUAAUAUUAGCUUAUAAAAAAAUGAUUUUAAUAUCAGAUAUCAUAUCAAGACCCUGUCAAUCUAGCAUCAAUUAUUAGAUUUGCUACUCAGUUGUUACGAAGAACAAUUAUUAUACCAAUAAUGCUGCAUGUAUCACAUGGGUUUGGGUGAGUUAUAUACGUUGGUUCUUUCUUUACAUCUAUGGGGUUCGAUAAAUCCCAAAUUCAAAUUGAAUUGUGAUGUUUUAAGUGUUUCUAGAUUGAUUUGAGAUGGUUUAAGAAUGAACAAGAGCUUUUGUGAUGAAUUGAUGUUAGUACUUUGGUUAUAUGCUCUGUUACUUGCUCCUUUGCAUAGCUUUGAUAGAUCUUGCAUACAAGGUUCAUUAUGAGUCGGGUGGGUCAAGGAAGGUGAAGAGUGGAUUCCUUUCUUCAUAGGGCGUAGCCAGUGCGUUUUUAGUGAUUUAAUUUGCUAUACAAACUAAAUUCUGGAAUCUACAGUUGGUCUUUUAUGCUCUCUGGUUAACAAAAACAGAAAGGUACAGGCAGUGUGCUUUGAAAGGUACAAGCAGUUUUCAGAUAUCGAUAUUGAACAAGAAGAAGAAUGUGGAAUUUGCAUGGAGAUGAAUCGUAAAAUGGUAUUGCCCAACCACAACCAUGCUAUGUGCAUGAAGUGUUACCGUGAAAUCGUGAAUAGUUACCCCUUAACCUUUGUGUGCAAGUGGAGAUAAUGAAGCUGGCAUCUUUGUUUGGUUAUUAGUUCAUAUUUGUUUGGACUUUCUGGAACUGAAUAUCUUUAUAUUUUCAGGUACUUACAUUUAUACCUAUCUUUUCAUCCAUUUACUUACAGAUUGCAUGAUUUGUAUUUUCCUUUUCA